rnacentral:rRNA from 1 species
CGAACGCUGGCGGCGUGCUUAACACAUGCAAGUCGAACGAUGAAGGAGGAGCUUGCUCCUCCGGAUUAGUGGCGAACGGGUGAGUAACACGUGAGCAAUGUGCCCUUGACUCUGGAAUAAGCGCUGGAAACGGCGUCUAAUACCGGAUACGACCCUCGGAGGCAUCUCCAGGGGGUGGAAAGAACUUCGGUCAAGGAUCAGCUCACGGCCUAUCAGUUAGUUGGUGAGGUAACGGCUCACCAAGACGACGACGGGUAGCCGGCCUGAGAGGGUGACCGGCCACACUGGGACUGAGACACGGCCCAGACUCCUACGGGAGGCAGCAGUGGGGAAUAUUGCACAAUGGGCGCAAGCCUGAUGCAGCAACGCCGCGUGAGGGACGACGGCCUUCGGGUUGUAAACCUCUUUUAGCAGGGAAGAAGCGAAAGUGACGGUACCUGCAGAAAAAGCACCGGCUAACUACGUGCCAGCAGCCGCGGUAAUACGUAGGGUGCAAGCGUUGUCCGGAAUUAUUGGGCGUAAAGAGCUCGUAGGCGGUUUGUCACGUCUGCUGUGAAAUCCCGAGGCUCAACCUCGGGCUUGCAGUGGGUACGGGCAGACUAGAGUGCGGUAGGGGAGAUUGGAAUUCCUGGUGUAGCGGUGGAAUGCGCAGAUAUCAGGAGGAACACCGAUGGCGAAGGCAGAUCUCUGGGCCGUAACUGACGCUGAGGAGCGAAAGCAUGGGGAGCAAACAGGCUUANAUACCCUGGUAGUCCAUGCCGUAAA